rnacentral:rRNA from 1 species
AGACCCUCGCUGUGUGUUACAAGUGUCACACGGAACUGCCGGUCAUAAACCGGAGGAAGGUGGGGAUGACGUCAAGUCAGCAUGGCCUUUAUAUCCUGGGCUACACACACGCUACAAUGGGAAGGGACAAUAGGUUGCGAAGCCGCGAGGCGGAGCCAAUCCAGCAAAACUUCCCUCAGUUCAGAUUGCAGGCUGCAACCCGCCUGCAUGAAGUUGGAGUUGCUAGUAAACGCAGGUCAGCCAUACUGCGUUGAAUACGUUCCCGGGGCUU